GGACUGCACUAGUAUUCUGAAGGUUCUUCUACUUUGCAUUUCAGGGGUGUUUACAGAAGUUAUUCCGCAGAUGCAAGUAAAAGGCGUGCAGGUUGAGGAGUUGUAUUCAUUGGACCUUGAUUCUCUGAACAAUCUGAGGCCGGUGUACGGUUUGAUUUUCCUAUUCAAAUG